rnacentral:misc_RNA from 1 species
UUUCCGUAGGUGAACCUGCGGAAGGAUCAUUCAUAAUAAAGUGUUUUAUGGCACUUUUUAAAAAUCCAUAUCCUCCUUGUGUGCAAUGUUAGAUCUCGUCAAUCUUGGCGAGAUUUUUAUACAUCAACUCAUUCUUUAACUAAUUUGUCUGAAAAAUAUUAUGAAUACUUAAGUCAAAAUACAACUUUCAACAACGGAUCUCUUGGCUCUC